rnacentral:rRNA from 1 species
CAGCCGCCGCGGGAAUACGAAGGGGGCUAGCGUUGCUCGGAAUGACUGGGCGUAAAGGGCGCGUAGGCGGCGGCCAAAGUCAGGCGUGAAAUUCCUGGGCUCAACCUUGGGGCUGCGCUUGAUACUUGGUUGCUUGAGUGGGGAAGAGGGUCGUGGAAUUCCCAGUGUAGAGGUGAAAUUCGUAGAUAUUGGGAAGAACACCGGUGGCGAAGGCGGCGACCUGGUCCUUGACUGACGCUGGGGCGCGAAAGCGUGGGGAGCAAACAGGAUUAGAUACCCCGGUAGUCCCUGUCUCUUAUAC